rnacentral:rRNA from 1 species
GAUGAACGCUGGCGGCGUGCCUAAUACAUGCAAGUCGAGCGAACAGACGAGGAGCUUGCUCCUCUGACGUUAGCGGCGGACGGGUGAGUAACACGUGGAUAACCUACCUAUAAGACUGGGAUAACUUCGGGAAACCGGAGCUAAUACCGGAUAAUAUAUCGAACCGCAUGGUUCAAUAGUGAAAGACGGUUUUGCUGUCACUUAUAGAUGGAUCUGCGCCGCAUUAGCUAGUUGGUAAGGUAACGGCUUACCAAGGCAACGAUGCGUAGCCUACCUGAGAGGGUGAUCGGCCACACUGGAACUGAGACCCGGUCCAGACUCCUACGGGAGGCAGCAGUAGGGAAUCUUCCGCAAUGGGCGAAAGCCUGACGGAGCGACGCCGCGUGAGUGAUGAAGGUCUUCGGAUCGUAAAACUCUGUUAUUAGGGAAGAACAAAUGUGUAAGUAACUAUGCACGUCUUGACGGUACCUAAUCAGAAAGCCACGGCUAACUACGUGCCAGCCGCCGCCGUAA